CUAUGGCCAUACCACCCUGAACACGCCCAAUCUUGUCUGAUCUCAGAAGCUAAGCAGGGUCAGGCCUGGUUAGUACUUGGAAGGGAGACACUACCUAAAUACAAUGCAAAUUCUGUGUAAGUCAUUGU
rnacentral:rRNA from 1 species